UACGUAGGGUCCGAGCGUUGUCCGGAAUUACUGGGCGUAAAGAGCUCGUAGGUGGUUUGUCGCGUUGUUCGUGAAAACUCACAGCUUAACUGUGGGCGUGCGGUCGAUACGGGCAGACUUGAGUACUGCAGGGGAGACUGGAAUUCCUGGUGUAGCGGUGGAAUGCGCAGAUAUCAGGAGGAACACCGGUGGCGAAGGCGGGUCUCUGGGCAGUAACUGACGCUGAGGAGCGAAAGCGUGGGGAGCGAACAGG
rnacentral:rRNA from 1 species